AAAAAACUAAGGGGAAAGCUUCAUAUCCAAGUCAAAACGAAACGGAGAACCAGCCGAUCUCUUCUUCAAAGAAUUUCCAAAAAACGACCAUAAAACAAAAAUGCUAAAAAUCCCUUCUUUGUUUUGACUGAUGAUGUCAUGUCCUCGUUCAUUUGAAAGGAGAUAUUCAUUUAGCCCAAGCAACAGGAUGACCUCAUAUACUACUAGAAUAAACCACCCCAGAAUUCCACAAUAACUCGGUGGAAUAUUAAUUAUCGAUGUCAAAAUUGCUACACCAGCAAGAGUGAAAAAGAAAUUCCAGUGCACACCAUAUUCACCAACGUGAACCUGAUAAUCAACACUUGAAGUGAAAAAGAUUCGAGCAAACCCCAGGACUAUGAGUGGACAAGUUGAAGAAAUUGCAUUUCUCAAAUUCGUUUUUGCAAUUCCACGUGCUUGUCGUGAGACCAAUGCAUUUGCCACAAUAAACGAACCUACUCCAAUGUCCAUCAAGCCAGUACCGUACGUCUCUGUUUUAGCAUAUCUUCUAGGAAAUAUCUUGAAGUCAACAGCCAGAAUACAUAUGCAUGUCAGAAAAUUCAUAGCAACCCUGUAUGCAGAUAUAUUUGUCCUAAGAGAUCGGACCCCUUCUUCCUGAGAAACAGAAAAUCCAGAUCUUCUAGCUAAAAUAAAGAAUGUCACCAAUAAGGUCAUCCCAACUGCAUUGGUAUAUGUCCAAUCUGCCAGAAUAGUCAAACAUAAAAUGACUGGAAAUACAAUGCAGAAGACAUCAAGAGUCGCUGCAGCAAGAUAUGAUCCCAGGCUCUUCUUACAAACAACUGCAUUAACAUUAUCAUCUUUCUUUGACAGGGCCUCGAGAGAG
rnacentral:misc_RNA from 1 species